AUCUAUUUAUUUAUAUAAUUUACUGAAUUAAUAUUUAAGCGGGAACAUGUUCGGCUUUUUUAACCCGCCGCCAUUUUGUCUCCCCCGUCCCGCUCUCCCUCACGCUGAGGGGGCCGAGGAGACGCUCGCUGAUUGGCCGGUGCCGUCUGGCGGGAAAGCCUCCCCCGGCUCAGCCCCGCUCGGCUGUCUCCGAGGGAGAGAAAGGCGCUGAUUGGUCGCUGCCUCUGAGGAGAGAAAGGCGCUGAUUGGUCGCCGCCUCCCUAAACCCACCUCCUGCGCAGAGAACAGCGACGGCAGCCUGGCCACGCCCCCUCCGGCUGACCGCGCCCCCUGCUCCGGCUGACCGCGCGUGCCCCCCCCCCCGCAACUCGGCUGACCGCGUGCCCCCCCCCAACUCCGGCUGACUGUGCCCCCCCGCCCCCCCCGGCUGACCGCGUGCCCCCCCCACUGCACUCCUGCUGACUGUGCGCCCCCCCCACCUCCUCCGGCUGGCCACAUCUCCACUGCACACCAUGGCGGGGAGGGGGCAGGGGGGGAUCACAAGGGUCUAUGGGGCGGUGUGGGGGUCAGGGCGGCUGUGGGGUCAAUGGGGUUGUUGUGGGGUGAAACACCCCUGAAGAGGCUGAACCCCCUACAGGUGAGUGACCCACACAGUGCCCCACAGUGCCCCAUAGCACCUCCAUUCUGCCCUACGGAUCCACAACACUGCCCCACAGCACCCUAUAGCUCCUGCUUGCUAUCCCACAGCACCCCAUGGCUUCUCCACUCUGCCCCAUAUGUCUACAGCAGUGCCGCAGAGUACCUCAUAUGUCUUCCACUCUGCCCCAUGGGUGCAGAGUGCUGCCCUACAGCACCCUAUAGCUCCUGUACUCUGCCCCACAGAUCCACAGUGCUGUCCCACAGCACCCUAUAGCUCAUUUGGCCUAUAGACCCACUGUACUGCCCUACAAUGCCCCAUGGCUCCUACACUCUGCCCCAUAGACCCACAACACUGCCUCACAACACCCCAUUGCUCCUGCACUCUGCCCCAUGGAUGCCCAGUACUGCCCCACAGCACCAUAUAGGUCCUGUACUCUGCCCCAUAUAUCCACAGGAGUGCCCUGCAGCACCCCAUGGCUCCUGCACUCUGCCCCAUGGAUGCCCAGUACUGCCCAACAGCACCAUAUAGGUCCUGUACUCUGCCCCAUACAUCCACAGGAGUGCCCCCCAGCACCCUAUGGCUCCUGCAUUCUGACCCAUGGAUGCCCAGUACUGCCCCACAGCACCAUAUACGUCCUGUACUCUGCCCCAUACAUCCACAGGAGUGCCCCCCAGCACCCCAUGGCUCCUGCACUCUGCCCCAUGGAUGCCCAGUACUGCCCCACAGCACCGUAUAGCUCCUCUACUCUGCCCCAUACAUCCACAGGAGUGCCCCCCAGCACCCCAUAGUGACUCUACUCUUCCCCAUAGACCCACAGUGCUGCCGCACAGGACUCUACUCUGCCCCUUAGACCCAGAGAGCUGCCCCACAGCAGCCUGUAGGUGCUGCGUUCUGCCCCAUUGGUGCAAAGUGCUGCCCCACAGUGCCCCACACCUCUGUCCACCUGACCACCCUUCCCUCCUGACUGCGCCUGCACUGCCCACUAUGGGUGGGUCACAAGGGUCUAUGGGGCGGUGUGGGGGUCAGGGCGGCUGUGGGGUCAAUGGGGUUGUUGUGGGGUGAAACACCCCUGAAGAGGCUGAACCCCCUACAGGUGAGUGACCCACACAGUGCCCCACAGUGCCCCAUAGCACCUCCAUUCUGCCCUACGGAUCCACAACACUGCCCCACAGCACCCUAUAGCUCCUGCUUGCUAUCCCACAGCACCCCAUGGCUUCUCCACUCUGCCCCAUAUGUCUACAGCAGUGCCACAGAGUACCUCAUAUGUCUUCCACUCUGCCCCAUGGGUGCAGAGUGCUGCCCUACAGCACCCUAUAGCUCCUGUACUCUGCCCCACAGAUCCACAGUGCUGUCCCAUAGCACCCUAUAGCUCAUCUGGCCUAUAGACCCACUGUACUGUCCUACAAUGCCCCAUGGCUCCUACACUCUGCCCCAUAGACCCACAACACUGCCUCACAACACCCCAUUGCUCCUGCACUCUGCCCCAUGGAUGCCCAGUACUGCCCCACAGCACCAUAUAGGUCCUGUACUCUGCCCCAUAUAUCCACAGGAGUGCCCUGCAGCACCCCAUGGCUCCUGCACUCUGCCCCAUGGAUGCCCAGUACUGCCCAACAGCACCAUAUAGGUCCUGUACUCUGCCCCAUACAUCCACAGGAGUGCCCCCCAGCACCCUAUGGCUCCUGCAUUCUGACCCAUGGAUGCCCAGUACUGCCCCACAGCACCAUAUAGGUCCUGUACUCUGCCCCAUACAUCCACAGGAGUGCCCCCCAGCACCCCAUGGCUCCUGCACUCUGCCCCAUGGAUGCCCAGUACUGCCCCACAGCACCGUAUAGCUCCUCUACUCUGCCCCAUACAUCCACAGGAGUGCCCCCCAGCACCCCAUAGUGACUCUACUCUUCCCCAUAGACCCACAGUGCUGCCGCACAGGACUCUACUCUGCCCCUUAGACCCAGAGAGCUGCCCCACAGCAGCCUGUAGGUGCUGUGUUCUGCCCCAUUGGUGCAAAGUGCUGCCCCACAGCGCCCCACACCUCUGUCCACCUGACCACCCUUCCCUCCUGACUGCGCCUGCACUGCCCACUAUGGGUGGGUCACAAGGGUCUAUGGGGUGGUGUGGGGGUCAGGGGGGCUGUGGGGUCAAUGGGGUUGUUGUGGGGUGAAACACCCCUGAAGAGGCUGAACCCCCUACAGGUGAGUGACCCACACAGAGACCCACAGCAGCCCAUAGCCCCUCUGCCCUAUAGAGUCACUGCACCCCAUAGCUGCUUUUACUCUGCCACAUAAAUGGACAGCAGUGCUCCACAGCACCCUAAGUCUCCACUGUGCCCCAUAGACACACAGUGCUGUCCCACAGCACCCCAUAUCUUGUUCACUCUGCCCUAUAGACCCACAGUGUAACCCUACAGCACCCCAUAGUUCCUCUGCCCUAUAGAUCAACAGCACUGUCCCAGAAAACACCAUAGCUUCUUCCCACUAGCCCAUAGGCCAGCAAUUCUGCCCUACAGCGCACUAGCUCCUGCACCCUGCCCCAUAGACCCACAGCAGUGCCCCACAGAUCCAGUCUGCCCUAUACAGCCACAGCACUGCUCUGCAGCACCAUAUACUUCCAGCACUCUGGCCCACUGAUAUGUAGCACCCCACAGCUGCUGCAUUCUGCCCAUAGAUCGACGUUCCUGGGUCCCCUCACCCCACCAGCUGUCCUGGGUUGCGAUGCUGCACGGGGCCCUGUGCACAACAAAAUGAGGACAGCAUGGCUGCUGGGCGCCACCCUGCUUGGAAUCCAAGAUGGCUGGGGGGGGAGGGCUGGCAGCCAUGCUGGCACUGCCGGAGGGGCUGUUGGUCUGCGCCGUGCUCAGGCGGCAGCUCCCGGCUGUAUCGGCUGCUCCUGUGGCCCUGCACCCUGCCCAUGGGAACAAGGUGGCUGCCCUGAUGGGCGUGGCCAUCUCGGCUGCUGUGUCCCUGCUGGUGGGCGGGGCCAUGGCUGUCAUGGCUGCCAAGCCUGUGCUGGAAGGGUGGGGCUGAGGUGGGUGGUGCCUGCCUAGGGUGGCCAUUUUGGGGUGGGGCCCAAGGUGGGUGGUGGGGCCUGUGACUCUGUUUGCCCCUGACGGCCAUCUUGGAAAAGGGCAGCACUGUGCCGCUGCCAUCCUGACGUUGCUCCCCCAGGGCCAUGUUGGGGGAUUUUUAACCUGGUUUUGGGGCCAAUUCUCACCCAAUAAAAUUAAAUAAUGUAAAAAAA